GCAAGUCGCACGGAGAGCAGACGGUCUUUAUAUUGUUUGUUUUCAGUGGCGGACGGGUGAGGAACACGUGAAUUACAUGCCCUGUAGAGGGGGAUAGCCCACCGAAAGGUGGAUUAAUACCCCAUAGUAUCGCAAGAUUAAAGGUGGCCUUCGGGCUGUCGCUACAGGAUUGGUUCGCGCCCUAUCAGCUUGUUGGAGAGGUAACGGCUCACCAAGGCAACGACGGGUAACUGGUCUGAGAGGACGAUC
rnacentral:rRNA from 1 species